CAGGAUGAAUGCUAGCGGGAGGCUUAACACAUGCAAGUCGAGGGGUAACAUGGUUUUCGGACUGAUGACGACCGGCGCACGGGUGCGUAACGCGUAUGCAACCUUCCUUAUGCAGGAGGAUAGCCCGUGGAAACGUGGAUUAAUACUCCAUACUAUUAGUAUUAUGCAUGUAAUAUUAAUAAAAACUACGGUGGCAUAAGAUGGGCAUGCGUCUGAUUAGUUAGUUGGUGAGGUAACGGCUCACCAAUGCGACGAUCAGUAGGGGUUCUGAGAGGAUUAUCCCCCACACUGGUACUGAGACACGGACCAGACUCCUACGGGAGGCAGCAGUGAGGAAUAUUGGUCAAUGGGUGAGAGCCUGAACCAGCCAUCCCGCGUGCAGGAUGACGGCCCUAUGGGUCGUAAACUGCUUUUCUACGCCAAGAAAGGUCCCUACGUGUAGGGAAUUGACGGUAGCGUAGGAAUAAGCAUCGGCUAACUCCGUGCCAGCAGCCGCGGUAAUACGGAGGAUGCAAGCGUUAUCCGGAUUUAUUGGGUUUAAAGGGUGCGCAGGCGGGUUUUUAAGUCAGUGGUGAAAUACUGCCGCUUAACGGUAGAAUUGCCAUUGAAACUAGGAAUCUUGAGUGUGGUUGAGGUAGGCGGAAUGUGUAGUGUAGCGGUGAAAUGCAUAGAUAUUACACAGAACACCGAUUGCGGAGGCAGCUUACUAAGCCAUAACUGACGCUGAGGCACGAAAGCGUGGGGAGCGAACAGGAUUAGAUACCCUGGUAGUCCACGCUGUAAACGAUGUUCACUCGCUGUUUGCGAUACACAGUAAGCGGCUGAGCGAAAGCAUUAAGUGAACCACCUGGGGA
rnacentral:rRNA from 1 species